UAGUGGCAGACGGGUGAGUAAUGUAUAGGAAUCUACCUAGUAGUACGGAAUAAUUGUUGGAAACGGCAACUAAUACCGUAUACGCCCUACGGGGGAAAAAUUUAUUGCUAUUGGAUGAGCCUAUAUUAGAUUAGCUAGUUGGUGGAGUAAUAGCCUACCAAGGCAAUGAUCUAUAGCUGAUCUGAGAGGAUGAUCAGCCACACUGGAACUGAGAUACGGUCCAGACUCCUACGGGAGGCAGCAGUGGGGAAUAUUGGACAAUGGGCGAAAGCCUGAUCCAGCCAUGCCGCAUGAGUGAAGAAGGCCUUUGGGUUGUAAAGCUCUUUUAGUGAGGAAGAUAAUGACGGUACUCACAGAAGAAGUCCUGGCUAACUCCGUGCCAGCAGCCGCGGUAAUACGGAGAGGGCUAGCGUUAUUCGGAAUUAUUGGGCGUAAAGGGCGCGUAGGCUGGUUAAUAAGUUAAAAGUGAAAUCCCGAGGCUUAACCUUGGAAUUGCUUUUAAAACUAUUAAUCUAGAGAUUGAAAGAGGAUAGAGGAAUUCCUGAUGUAGAGGUAAAAUUCGUAAAUAUUAGGAGGAACACCAGUGGCGAAGGCGUCUAUCUGGUUCAAAUCUGACGCUGAAGCGCGAAGGCGUGGGGAGCAAACAGGAUUAGAUACCCUGGUAGUCCACGCUGUAAACGAUGAAUGUUAAAUAUGGGAAGUUUACUUUCUGUAUUACAGCUAACGCGUUAAACAUUCCGCCUGGGGACUACGGUCGCAAGAUUAAAACUCAAAGGAAUUGACGGGGACCCGCACAAGCGGUGGAGCAUGUGGUUUAAUUCGAUGCAACGCGAAAAACCUUACCACUUCUUG
rnacentral:rRNA from 2 species